GGGGGUGGGGGGGGGGGGGGGAGUAUGGAGUUUGAAUGAGUGCUCUCAGUGGCGGACCCAGACAUUUAUACAAGGGGGUACUGAUUGCCUAAGAGAGGGCCUCUUCUCAACCAUUUUUUCCUAUAUAAAACGGGGCACCCUGCCCUAAAUCCGCCUCGGAUUCAUUUUAGUUAUUGUUUUACCCUAAAAUAAAUAAAAGUCGUUACUAGUCUUACAUGCAAUAUAAUCAGUUUAAGCAGGAAGUUCAGACUUUAUGAGGUCCACAGAAGGGAUAAACUU
rnacentral:lncRNA from 1 species